rnacentral:rRNA from 1 species
UACAGAGGGGGCAAGCGUUGUUCGGAAUUACUGGGCGGAAAGGGCGCGUAGGCGGCCUUCUAAGUCGAGCGUGAAAUCCCUGGGCUCAACCCAGGAACUGCGUCCGAUACUGGAAGGCUUGAAUCCGGGAGAGGGAUGCGGAAUUCCAGGUGUAGCGGUGAAAUGCGUAGAUAUCUGGAGGAACACCGGUGGCGAAGGCGGCAUCCUGGACCGGUAUUGACGCUGAGGCGCGAAAGCCAGGGGAGCAAACGGG